rnacentral:rRNA from 1 species
GUCUAUAUGAAGGUGUAUAUAGUUUGGCCUGCUCACUGAUUAAAUUAAAGAGCCGCAGUAUUUUGACUGUGCGAAGGUAGCAUAAUAAAUUGUCUUUUAAUUAAAGGCUUGAAUGAAAGGUUGGACAAAGUAUCAUCUGUUUCUUAAAUAUUUAUUGAAUUUGACUUUUAAGUGAAAAGGCUUAAAUAAAUCAAAAAGACGAUAAGACCCUAUAAAUCUUUACAAUAAAUAUAUUUUAUAUUUUAGCUUAUAAGUAAAUAAGAAAUAAAAAUAUAGGUUUGUUACGCUGGGGCGGCGUAGAUAUAUAAAUAAACUGUCUAUAGUUUAAAUACAAUAAUUAUUGCUUAAUACAAAUUGAUCCUUAAAUAGAUUAAAAGAUUAAGAUACUUUAGGGAUAACAGCGUUAUUUUUUUUGAGAGUUCUUAUCGAAGAAAAAGUUUGCGACCUCGAUGUUGAAUUAAAGUAUCUUUAUGGUGUAGCCGCUAUAAGAGAGAGUCUGUUCGACUUUUAAUACUUU